GGCCAUAGGGUUUCUUAGCAACACACUAAAAAAAUGAACAGUAGCAGUGGAAUCGAAUUAAUGAAAUGUUUACUAACAAGAAUUUUACAGAGCAGAAGUUUUUAUUUCAGGUUUGCUGGCCUGAACUGGGCAAGCAGGGACCUUUACAGGGACCUGAACAGGGAUCUUUAGCUGCUGUGACCGUGAGUGACAAAGCCAAAGAAAGAUGAAACUAAAGGACCAAUUUGGCUACCAGCAUGGGAUUGACUUGGGUUCCUGGAAGACGUGGGGGAGCUUGAAAAGAAUGACCCAAAGAGCAGAAGAAGUCCUUCAACACAGAGAACAAUAAAAGAUCCCUGAAUCUGGAUUGCAGCGACUCACUGGGGAAUUAUUGCCAUUGUUGCCUUGUUAUUAAUUGCUCUUUUUCUGUUUUUCUAGUGUGUAAAAUUGGAAUGAAGCAAUUGGCUGGCCCAAAACAACUCCAAGUAUGGCUUACUAAGCAACUGCUUAAUAAAAGAAGGGGGAGAUGUGGGGUUACUCGUGACACACGAAUGGGUCCUUGUCUGCUUGGUUGACUUGGAGGUUGGAAGACUGCUAAAUCUGAGGAGCUGAAAUGUGUUGAAAACAGGAUGUUUUGCUAAUUUGAGCAGAGAUGGGCCUUAUGGAGAAAACAAGAAAUCUUUUUAGGGGACAAUGAGAUAAAAGCUAAUUAUUCAGCCAAACUGUCACCAUACUUU